rnacentral:misc_RNA from 1 species
AACGCACGAGACCUGCGGACCUGCGGAAGGAUCAUUAACGCGCUACGGAGGUCUCUUCGAAGGGGGGAUCUUACGUGUGCCCACCCUUGAUUACUGGACCUGUUGCUUUGGCGGGUUCCGCCGCAAGGCGGUCUGAAAAGAAGCUCGAGUUUUCAGGCUCGAGUCCGCCAGAGUUCCACUAAAUUCUGGAUAGAAAGGUUGUGCUGUCUGAGCAUGCAAGCGCAAAUUUAUACAAAACUU